rnacentral:misc_RNA from 1 species
GGCCAUUAGCAUAUCCGCUACUAUCGGUGUCCAACUGGGAAAAAACACCUUGGUCGAGAUCCAAACCUCCAUUAGAGCAUUGGUCGAUGAUCCUGACUGUCGUUUGUGCCCCCGUCUUCGUGUUAGUAACCUGCAAGCACCUGCCGCAAGAGGCCUGUCCAGUAGGGCCGACGGGGCCGCAGAAGGCGGUCCAGCCAUACUUCUUGCGCCACCACAAGGGCUUGCUGGCGUCCCAUGUUGCGCAGUAGGCGCUGACGGCGUUGAGGUCCCAGUUGUUCUGCGCCGGGUAGUAGUAGUUGUAGGUUGCCCGCACAUUGUAUGCUUGUUGUGCUGCAGCCACCGCAGCGAGACUGAGUAGCACCGCGGCAAAAAGACUCACCCUCUUCAUCAUCUUGC